rnacentral:tRNA from 1 species
GGGGAUCUAGCUCAGUGGUAGAGCGCUUGUCUAGUAAGCACAGGGCUCUGGGUUUGGUUCUCAGUCCCCC